AACGAACGCUGGCGGCAUGCCUAACACAUGCAAGUCGAACGAGAACUUCGGGGCUAGCGGCGCACGGGUGCGUAACGCGUGGGAACUAGCACUUAGGUUAGGAAUAACUCACCGCAAGGGGUGCUAAUACCGGAUAAUGUCUUAGGACAAAAGAUUUAUCGCCAUUGGAUGGGUCCGCGUUGGAUUAGCUAGUGGGUAGGGUACAAGCCUACCAAGGCGACGAUCCAUAGCUGGGUGGAUAGGAUGAUACGCCACACUGGGACUGAGACACGGCCCAGAAUCCGACGGAAGGCAGCAGUAGAGAAUAUUGGACAAGGGGCGAUAGCGUGAUGCAGCAAUGCCGCGUGAGUGGGGAAGGGCUUAGGGAUGUAAAUCUCUUUUACACGAGAUGAUAAUGACAGUACCUGGAGAAUAAGCACCGGCUAACUCCGUG
rnacentral:rRNA from 1 species